AUCAUCGAAUCUUUGAACGCACAUUGCGCCCGCCAGUAUUCUGGCGGGCAUGCCUGNCUGAGCGUCAUU
rnacentral:rRNA from 1 species